UUGACAAUGGCCACUAGUCAAAAGAAGCCGUUCCAGCCCAGAGAGCAAUGGCCUUGCGCUGCCGUAUGGUUUUCUACCACAAGGGUUCAGAGGUGGCCUGCAAUGACAUGGUUCAAGCACUUACAUGAUGUUCUGAGGGCAGUAAGAAAAGGAUGCUGACAAAGCUAGGCAUGCUUUGAACAUGUGCUGCUAUCGAGAGGAAUGCACGGCGCAAGUGGUGUUCCGAUCCAAGCGUCCCUUCCCAACUUUGCAGCCCGCUCCGCCUAUGCGUGGUCAACGGUGGGGACAGCGGCUCUGCUGUUGGGCACGGCCUGCUGGUGUCACGCGAUCCUCCGAGAUGGCGCUGACGACAGCGCCCAUUGUUCCUCUGCUCUCUAAGCCAUCGCCCCACUGGCUUCCAUCAAAGGACCUGUGGCCAUGCUGUGCUUCGGCGAAGCUGCAGAAGCUGCUCGACGCCUAAGAAUCGCACGCAGCAGCACAACUGGCGUCAUUGAGGAGGUAAUGUGUGUGUCCCGACCUGCCUGCAUGCUGCCCUUCGGCGACGCUGCGGUGGCUGCUCAAUGCCGGAGAAUCGCACGCAGCAGCAGCGCCGCGAGCAGCGCAGCCUUCGUGAAGUGCAUGGCAUGCUCCAGCUCCUGCGCCUCCAGCGAUCCAGUGUUGCCGAACGAGGUCGUGUGGGCUACUCUUUCCCUAGAAAGAGUACGCGCGCGUGGCCAGGAAGCUCAUAUUUACACUUUUGCUUUCGUGAUUCGUCACUUUUUGUUCUACUACUUAUUUAUUAUAUCAAUAAAUAUGGUUUUGAUUGUCUACUCG